AAUGAACGUUGGCGGCGUGGAUUAGGCAUGCAAGUCGAGCGAGAACCCCGCAAGGGGGGACAGCGGCAAACGGGGUAGUAAUGUGUCGGAACGUGCCCAGAGGACGGGGAUAGCGGCGGGAAACUGCCGGUAAUACCCGAUGAUCUCGAGAGAGCAAAGGUGUGAUUCCGCCUUUGGAGCGGCCGACAUGGUAUUAGCUAGUUGGCGGGGUAACGGCCAACCAAGGCUGUGAUGCCUAGGGGAUGUGAGAGCAUGAUCCCCACCAUUGGGACUGAGACACUGCCCAGACACCUACGGGUGGCUGCAGUCGAGAAUCUUCGUCAAUGGGCGAAAGCCUGAACGAGCGACGCCGCGUGUGGGAUGAAGGCCUUUGGGUUGUAAACCACUGUCGAGGGGGAUGAAGGCAUUCAGGUUCUCCUGAAUGUUUGACAGAGCCCUGGAGGAAGCACGGGCUAAGUUCGUGCCAGCAGCCGCAGUAACAC
rnacentral:rRNA from 1 species